rnacentral:rRNA from 1 species
UACGUAGGGAGCAAGCGUUGUCCGGAAUCAUUGGGCGUAAAGCGCGCGUAGGGGGCUCUAUAAGUCCGUUGUGAAAGUCAAAGGCUCAACCUUUGAAAGCCGAUGGAUACUGUGGAGCUAGAGUACGGAAGAGGCGAGUGGAAUUCCUGGUGUAGCGGUGGAAUGCGCAGAUAUCAGGAGGAACACCAAUAGCGAAGGCAGCUCGCUGGGACGUUACUGACACUGAGGCGCGAAAGCGUGGGGAGCAAACAGG